rnacentral:snRNA from 1 species
GUGCUCGCUUCGGCAGCACAUAUACUCAA